rnacentral:ncRNA from 1 species
AAAGGUUUGGUCCUGGCCUUAUUAUUAGUUAUUAGUAAGCUUAUACAUGCAAGUAUCCGCCAACCUGUGAAAAUGCCCUUUUACUCGCUCACCUCGAACGAUCCCGAAGGAGCUGGUAUCAAGCACACCCUACGUAGCUCAAAACACCUUGCUCAGCCACACCCCCACGGGAUACAGCAGUAAUAAAAAUUAAGCAAUGAACGAAAGUUUGACUAAGCUAUACUAAAAAGAGUUGGUUAAUCUCGUGCCAGCCACCGCGGUCAUACGAUUGACUCAAAUUAAUAAGACCCGGCGUAAAGUGUGGUUAAAACAAGGUAUUACAAUAAAGUUAAAUCACACCUUAGCUGUAAAAAGCCAAAGGUUUGUAAUAAAUAAACUACUAAAGUAACUUUACUAUACACAUGAACCCACGAUAGCUAAGACACAAACUGGGAUUAGAUACCCCACUAUGCUUAGCCCUAAACCACGAUGUUUAGUAACAAAAACAUCCGCCAGAGAACUACAAGCCACAGCUUAAAACUCAAAGGACUUGGCGGUGCUUUAUACCCCCUAGAGGAGCCUGUUACAUAAUCGAUAAACCCCGAUAAACCACACCAUCACUCGCUAAAUCAGUCUAUAUACCGCCAUCUUCAGCAAACCCUUAAAAGGACCAAUAGUAAGCAUAAACGUAAGCACAAAAACGUUAGGUCAAGGUGUAACCUAUGUGAUGGGACAUAAUGGGCUACAUUUUCUUAUAAGAACAAUAACGGACUUCUACCUGAAAAACUAGAACAAAGGAGGAUUUAGCAGUAAAUCAGGAAUAGAGAGCCUGAUUGAACCAGGCCAUGAAGCACGCACACACCGCCCGUCACCCUCCUCAAAUACCAAUUAACUUAAACCCUAUUUUAUUAAUACAAGUAUGAGAGGAGACAAGUCGUAACAAGGUAAGCAUACUGGAAAGUGUGCUUGGAUUAUU